UCUUUAUUUGGAGGAACUUAACUGCAUUUUCCUUUUUUCUUGGAAGAUCACAUUAUUUUUUGCUAAUACCAAAGAAUAUCACCCUUUUUGACAUGCCUGCAGAUGUAUAGCUGUGCUCUUGUGAAGCUUCACAGGAAUCAGGGACCAAAGACAGAGUUAAUGAUUAGCUACAUGCAUCAUCCUUUGCCCCAAAGCCAAUACAGUCUGCUGCUAAUUACCUUUCCAUGCCUAUUAGGUGUGAGACUGGUCAUUUAUUUCAGUGGGAAGGGCAUGUGCCAUGAAGCAGAGCUUUGUGGGCAGUCUUGGAUGCCUGAUGCAAGGCUUCUUCCAUUGCUUCCCAAAAUGAUGGUGUCUUCUGGCAGAGUUUAGGCACUGGGAGUGUUUUCUGGGUAAAUGUAUGUCUGCUGUAGCCAGGAUCUUUCAGUUUAACAGCUUUCAGUGAAAGUCAGAAUUCUCAUAUACCAAAGCUCUUUUUUCUUUUUAACUUGCUGUGUGAAGAUCAUACAAAAGAAUUUGCAUGCUGCCCUUUGCUGGGCAUCUUCUGAAGAAGGAGUGCCUGCCUUUUGCUGUCUAAGGGGCUUAGCACUUCAGCUUUUAAAGUGCUAAAAGGUUAACAUUUGUAUUCUUUUUAGAAUACAAAUGCAGAGGUACAUUGCAGAUGUACAUAGUGGAGUCAAAUUUUCAGGGUUGGCACUGCAGAUAGCAUCAGGGCACACAGGUGUUUGGUCCAAUGUGACUGGGAACAGGGCAUUAGGUCUAGAUUCAGGCCUGUCUCCAUGAGACAAGGUAGUGCUCACUGUUCCUGCCAGCCCAUCAUUUUGCCACAGACAUCCAUAUGAUAACUGCAGAAGAUGAUGAAGCUGUGGUAGCUUUGUGUGCAGCAGCAGUAGCAGCAGCAAUGGAAGAUGAGAAUCUGUGGGCUUCAGUGUAAAAACCAGCUUUUCCUAGCAAGGCCAAGUUUGUCUUAAACUUCUUUAUGGAAUUUUUCCCUUUUCCCCUUGCCUUCCUACACCUGUCCUUUAUAGGCCAAGCAGUUUUGCAGUUUUGAAGCCUGGCUGUAUAUCAGGAGAAGGAAAGUGGGUCCCAUGUGCAGGUGUGCUGGCCAGCGGCGGGCACUGGUGCAGGAGGCUCGGGAGCCGGCGGAGCUCCGUGGCUUCAGUUUCCAGAGCCCGUGUCGCUAGAUGGCAAUGUGGCACUCCUGCAGCUGCUCCUGAAAAAUGGCUUGCUUUUCCUGUAUUUAUCUCUGCCAAACUGAUGAUUGCACCCACCACCUCGGCAAGAGAACAGAACAAAAUCAUUUCAUAGAACAUUACAGCUGUUGUGCCUUUUUCUUUCCUUUCUUUUUCUUGCUUUCCCCCACAGUUCUUUGUCCCACAGCAGGGUGCAGAGGUUUAAAAACCCUCUUUCUUAAUCACUCUCCUUCUAAAAACAGAGAAAACACAGCCUCUUGGGAGCAAUUAGCUGUGAGAAAAGCAUUUCUCAAACAAUUGCCAGGAAAUAUUGUCUUGACCGAUAUUCCUGAUGUAACACUGUCGUUCUCAGUACUGUUAUUCUAACGUACUUGACUGAAAAAACAGCAGGAUACAGAUCUGUAAUGCAUGAUCUGCAGCUUACCACCUACCUUACCUUUUUAUAUACAUUUGCUUUCAGUUUGUCCCCCCCCACUCCCUGGAGCCAUUCUGUUUAGGAGAGUGAAGAAUAAUUUGCGACUCUCCUCUUGUGACUAGUGUAUCAGGCCAAGACUGUGACAAGGCAUGGCUGAAAAUUAAGGUUAUGCCUCUGCUGCCUGGGUUCCUGAUUGAAAUUCAGUGUUGUGUGCUGCAGAGGGGAUCAGGCUGCAUGCUUACAGCAAUCCCUCCUAGCCUUAAAGCCUGGCAGCCUGAAAAUACGUGAGGUUGGUGAAGCCUGAACUUCAGUGGGAGCAGCUGGAGAGCGGGUAUGCAUGAUGCAGGCAGCAGAAAUACACUGAGACCAGGGUCUUGACCCUGAAAGCCCUCUCCCCAUUUUUGCAUUCAUGGAAGAUGGACCAGGCUGUAGGGUGAGGAGGGGUUGGAGGAAUGGUGGUAAACUUGGAGAGCUAAAAGCCAGUGUUAGCAGUGGCUAGGAACUGCUAGUAGCUAUCCAGAGAGCUCUGUGCACACAUGUGCGUGCCCACUCGCAUGCACAGCCGUAGCUGUUUGUAUUGUGUGGUUCAAAUUUUGUCCUUCCUUACAUGAAUUCAUGGAGAUUUGAGAAGUGAGCCUUGCUCUGUGGGACAGGGUGUGAACUGAAGCACCUUCUGGAAGACAGACAGCAGUGUAAUCCUUUCAUUCAACCAUGUCUGCAGCUGCUUUUUAUAAACUUGGCAUAAAUACAUACUCAGUGAAGCCAGGCCUGUGUAGCUGGAAAAUAUUUUCCACCAUCCAAAAAAACCAGAAGAUUGGAAAAAGAGCCCAGAAAUUGUGCAUAACAUGGAAUGGCCUCGCUUGUGGUUUUUUUCCAUGACUUCCUCAGCUCAUUUUUCUGCUGCCAAUUUUAGAAGCCCAUAAGUCAUACUUGUUAAACUUUCUCAGUUAAAAUGUAACUCUAAGAACAAAGUCAUAUGAUAUGUUGCAGCCAAAUAAUCCUUGCAGAGCCUGUGACUGGAGAAAAGCUCCCCCGGUCUGGCCAGCUCGCAAAGCCGCACGGGCUCCUGUCCCAGGAGAGGCAGGGCUGAGGGGCAGGUUCACAGCCCGCAUGGGUGACGGCUUCAGCAAUGUCUCCCUGCUUUUGCCAGGGUGCUCAGGCGAAAAUUUCAGCUCCUCCUCUAGCAGGACUUGAGGCAAGAGGCUGAGCAGAGGAGGGAGCGAGGGGAGGCAGCGCAGAGGGUUUGGCGGUGGAGGAAGGUGCUGCUGCGGUCAGGGUGAAGGAGCUGAGGGGUGAGAAAACAGCACGCUGCCAAAAGCGAAAGUGAAUUUGCUGCAGGGUUUGAAGAAAGAACAUCCUCCUUCUCAUUCACUGCCUUUUUAAGCGUUGAAUCAAUAUGGAAGUACAUUCAUGCCAGGAGCAGUACUUCUGUCUGCCAGUUUUGCUCUAUUUUAUAGAGUGAUUUUGCUUACACCACACCCCAGAUGACUGUUUUGAAGCGCCAUCCCUUGUCCAGGGUCUGCUCGGAGCGCUUGCGAAGACCAGACUCCCUGUCCCUCCCUGGGAGGAUGUCAUUCUAAACUGACCCUCGGCAGCAGCCGGGAGCGGCAUCUGGCAGACGGCCGUGCCGGCAGCGCUGCUCCAGCCCGCCCGCGCUGGCAGUGCCAGCCGGGCCCCUGUGACCUGCUGCCGGCUCGGGAAGGACAGUCCUGCUGUCCUGAGGGCUGCCUGGGGCAGCCUCUGUGCCCAGAGCGUGCGGGUCCGGCAGGAUGCGAGGGACCGGAGCAGGCAGAGCAGAGGAAGCUCUUCUCAGGGAGAAGUGGAAGAGCAGGAGACCAACAUAAAGAUGUCUCAAUAGCAGAUCUGGAUUGAGAAACAUCUUCUCUAGGAGCUGUGGAGUGCCACAUUAGGGGGCCAGAUGCCCAGUGUAAAAUCAAUAGCAGGCAUUUUACAAGCUGAGAGUAUGCAGGAGGACUCGGUACAGUUGGACCUGUCCAUCUCAUGAGGCACAGAACUUUUUUCCAUGCUGCUGUGUGGGAAAAUGGUCUCUCCUCUGCUUGUCUGAGAGAGGCUGGGGUCAGGCACACAAACUCUCAUUGCUUUUCCAAGGACACACUAAGAACUUGUGGUAGAAGUGGGAACAAAAAUGUCCUCUCUGAUUCAGUGCUUUAUCUGCACAAACAUAGUUUAUCAAUACAGAUAACUUUAGAUGAAAGAUACAUCAAAGCAUAUUUUUGGCUGCUGCUUUCAGAAGUAGUACAAAAUCUCCUGGGAGAAUUCAAGCAGUGAGAUAUGAUCCAAGUAUCAAAAUCCCCAUCUCCUUACUCUGUCUCCUCCUCUCUCACACUGGUGCGGUUCACAGGAAAUCUCUUCCUUGAGGUUAUGUCAUCUACUCCCAUCAGUAGAUUUCAGUUCCUAAAUGAAUUUUUGCUCUUUUCCAACAAAACGGUGCCUGUUUCAACACUAACUGGGAAGAUUUAUAAAUUGGCAAAGGAUACAAAAAGAAUAAUGAACCAGCAGUUACUGUUUACAUUGGCCACUUUGUAUAAAUGCUGAUAUUAGGAUUUCUGAAAGGAUUCAUUCAUCACUGAAAAAAAGGUUUGUACCUGUGAAUAAGAGCUUGCCUGGGAGGGCCUGUGUAUUUCCUCUCCUCUAUCAACAAAGCCUACAAACACGAAGAGAUGGUUUUGCAAUGGAUAUUAAUGCAUACCCAUUAUCUCAGGAUGACAAUAAGCCAUUGAAUAUAUUCCAUGCAGCAGUAAAUGAAUGAAAGCAUUUAUAAAUGUAAAGAAAAAUUGUA